UUGACUUACUUGUCCGAGGUUUGUAGCUGAGCCGAGGAGUGUUGGUACUCAUCCGGACUCCAUUUCCAGACAUUCAGCAAGUCCAGCUUUGUAUUGGACCAAGUUGAGGAAGUCGGCGAAAUGUUUGGCGCGUUUCCAGAGAAAAUAAGCUCGGAUGAAGGAACUAAACAUAGAAUUUGUGAUCAUUUGUACAUCCCAGCAACACUCAACACUGAGCAACUGCCAUGCUUGCAAACUAUGAUGUUUCUCCAGGAAAGAACUAUGUGUGUGCUGAGCUCACGCGGUCUUAGCUCCUUUUCUCAUUGGGUGGUCGGGACCAAGUCUCUGGGCGGGCAAAGCAGAGAAAGGGGAGACAAUAUCGCCUAACAGCCUAUCGAAACUUUCUGGAAUGGGUGCUGCAAGGCGAGAGAUUGGGCCGAGGCUGUCGUGUCGUUUUACCUACUUGCGUCGUGCAGACAAUCCGACUAAAAUAUCCAGCUCCAGACGGCCAGUAGUGCGGGCACCGAGAAGCUGACGACGCUCCGGUAGAACUAUAAAUUUCAUUGUUUACAUAUAUUUUUGUUUAUAUUUCUUGAAAUAAAUGGUUCAAAUUCA